UACGGGGGGGGCAAGCGUUGUUCGGAAUUACUGGGCGUAAAGCGCGCGUAGGCGGCUCUUCAAGUCAGACGUGAAAGCCCCGGGCUUAACUCGGGAACUGCGUUUGAUACUGUCGAGCUAGAGUGUGGAAGGGGCGAUUGGAAUUCCGUGUGUAGCGGUGAAAUGCGUAGAUAUCGAGAGGAACACCUGCGGCGAAGGCGGGUUGCUGGGCUGACACUGACGCUGAUGCGCGAAAGCCAGGGGAGCGAACGGG
rnacentral:rRNA from 1 species